UAAGAGAUUUUGCUGUGACUCUUAUGUGGAUGAUGUUAAAAAUAUGUGUUAGUCUGAUGUGAUUAAUGAGGAGCAUCCAGAUGCUACACUUGAUGAAUUUAUAAAAUUGCUUCUUCCAAUUAUUGAUAAACAUGAACCUGUUAAGAAACGGACUGUUAGAACUGUUAAGGCUCCAUGGAUUGAUGAGGAAUUGAAAAACGGUAUGGUUGAAAGAAAUGGGGCUAAAAGGAAGUGGCUAAUAAGUCUGGCUGCAGGUCUGACUGGCUGACUUCCUGCAAAAUGAGAAAUGAUGUGACUAAACUCAACAAAAAGAAGAAACUGUAUUAUGAAGCCAAGAUCAAUGUUAAUGUAUAGAUGUGUGUGUGUGAUUACUAACAUAACAGGUUAGGAUUACUAACAUAACAGGUUAGGAUUACUAAUGGAGCAGGUUAGGAUUACUAAAGUAGCAGGUUAGGAUUACUAAAGUAGCAGAGUAGGAUUACUAAAGUAGCAGGGUAGGAUUACUAAACUAGCGG
rnacentral:lncRNA from 1 species